CUGUCAGCAAAUAUAUGGAUCAGCUGUUGUCGUUAAUGGUGUGUAAGCUUGAGAAAGUGGGACUUCAAAUACGGACCAAUGAUAAGGACCUGGUGGGUCUAGAAUUGAGUCCUGCUCUUUAUCUGAUGCUAUUUAACAAAUUGAAGAAGACCCAUCAGCAAGUUUUUUGACUCCUAAGGACAUUAUUGACUGAUACCAAUACUCAAUUUGUAGAGGAAACCCUAGCUAUAUUGAAGAACUUGCUAGAUAAUCAUACUGAAGGCAGCUCUGAACAUCUAGAGCAAGCUAGCAUUGAAACAAUGAUGUUAAAUCUGGUCAUACGUUUGUGUGCUUGGGAAUAUGGUCCAUGCAAUUCAAAUAAAAACGAAACUGUGUCAGUUGGUUGAAGUAACGAUGGCAAGGAGAGAUGACCUCUCAUUUUGCCGAGAGAUGAAAUUUAAAUAAGAUGGUAGAAUACCUGACAGACUGGGUUAUGGGAACAUCAAACCAAGCAGCAGAUGAUGAUGUAAAAUGUCUUACAAGCAUCAGGUACCUGAAAAAGAAGAGAUCAAGGCUUUGAAAACGUUAAGUAUUUUCUACCAAGCUGGGGCUUCCAAAGCUGGGAAUCCUAUUUUUUAUUAUGCUGCACGGGGUAAGAAAUAC
rnacentral:lncRNA from 1 species